CCCCUUGUCCAGCCCUGGCAAUCACCAAUCUAUCUAAUUUGUCUGCUCAGGAUGGUUCACAUGAGGCUUUAUGAGACACCCUCCCUCCAGACUGCAAAAUGCUCCUGGGAGACCCUGACAUGGCUUGGAAUCUUCAGAAGUCACUGCACUGACAGACAGAUCACAUGAGAAUAACAGACUCAGCUGGAAGAGGCACUACUGGCAAGGAUCAAAAUGUCCCAUGCAGUCCCAGAAAGUGAAGUCUGUGUGGCUAAUAGACAAGUGGGUUUCCAGGCCCCUUGGAGGAAGAGCAGACAAGCCUAAAAUUUUAUGCCUGAGAGCUCCGCUGACAUGUACUGGAAGGCAAAGGCAUUUAUCACCCAGUGUCACAUGGCAGGGUCAUAAACAGUUAAUCUUCAGCAAAGCGCAGAAGGAAGCAUUGUUGGAGACCCCUUCCAACAGAAAGAACACAUUAGGCUUAACUACCAGGUGCAUCUUUAAAUGCCGGUUACUACUCACAUUGCCGCACAGACCCGUCUGUGAAGCUAGUGGGUGGAGAUGCUGGGUGGUAUCACCGGCUUCAGAAUUGCAUCCCCCAGAGUGCCUCUCUGGAGACUAGAAGAGGGGAGGGAUCCUUGGGGUUGGCCAUUCUUGCCCCAGCUUUUUAUGUGGUCUGCAUGGGAGCAGCCACAGGCUAGGCUUCCCUUUUUGCUUGGAUUUCUAACCAGACCCUCUUCCUGCAAUGCUAAACUGACUGUUUGUUUCUGCAGGGGUUGCACCCAAACAGCUAUGGUCUGGGCCCCUCAUCACCUGAGACUUGAGUCUGAGAAUGGCAUGCGGUGCCUCAGCCAUCUCAGAACAAACACAUAUCUGGGAGCUAUGGCACUUUUGACUUUCCUAGUGGCCUCUACCUCUUGUCAUGAUCUCUGCAUAGCUCCAGGCAUACCUUGUCCCAGUUGUGAGCUCCUAAUUAUGGCUAUUCCUGCAAAUACUGUUGCAUGAUAUGUAUUUUGCAUGUUUUGUAAGAAACAACCUCUGAGUUUAUUUUUUCAAAAUAAAGAUGGAGACAGUAAAGAUGCGGAGGGACCUUGAAACUACAGUCUGCACCCCCUACUUGCUGGUCACAGGUCUGUCACAUCUGAGCUGCUGUGACCUGCAGCAUGCUCCUCUCUGGCCAUUCAGGCGGGAGGUCCUGAGUCCUUGUCUCCUGCUGGUGGGCUUCUAUGUAUCCUGGGACAAUGGGGGUGAUGACUAGCUUGUUUUGGAGGAGGGGUCCUCAAUUUGCAUUUCAA